rnacentral:lncRNA from 1 species
CUCUUGUCUCUUCUCUCUCUUAAGCUCUUGCUCUUACUCUCACCUUUCGCCCUUUUUCUUCCCUCUUUCCACAUGGCCAUGGCUGGCUUCUACUUACCUACUUGUCUCCCUCUCUCUGCCUUUCUACAGUAAACACCUUGAAACCAUGGACCGUCUCUUCUCAUCAGGAUCCGCUGGGAUGGAGCAAUGGAGCAGGUUUCCCUCUAACGAGUUGCAUGUCUAACCUUCUGCUGGGAGGCCUUCCUGAGCUCUAGCCAUGGCCACCAGUCAACCCAAGCCAACUGCGGAGCUAGACAGCCUGAGCUAGCCAGACUCUUGCCCACCCAGAAACCACCUUCCCCGCUGCCCCUUCUCCCUUUGGCCCUGGGGCUGACUGAGCAGCCCCCGGGACCCCCACUUUUUUCUCAGCUCUUACAUGACAUCAAGUGGCAUCUGGGAUGUCUGAGACUGUGAACCUGUUGUCUUUGGCCUCCGUGAGGCCCAGAGACCCCAGAGCUGACUCUUCCGCAGUACUCAAUGGUCUGUGGUGCCAGAGAGUCAGAGCCGAGACUGCGCCUUCCCCACCUCAUGGAAUGGGGUCCAGUGGCCUAACACGGCCCAAUGCCUGUCUCUCAGGAGUUAUGUGGGAUCCUGCAGCAGUCUCCUGAGUCCACCCACCCAGAGGCCCGGACGAGGGUCAUUUCUCCCACCCUUUUAUUUCCCCACACCUGGCACCCUGCAGUCUCCCAAUUCUCUAGACCAUUUACUUCUUUUCAAGGACACCCAUAGGCUGUUGCCACUUCAAGUGUCUCUGCAACACCAUUGCUCUAUGCACCUGAACAGUGGCCAUCCACACAGACACUAGCGUCUGCCUGGCUCUGACAUCAUACAUGUAGGGCCUUCGUGUCUCUGAACACUCUGCCACUUCAUGUGAAGACACAAUCUCACACUACAGGAUUCCUGAGACAUUCCCAAAGUCUGGGUAGUACAAGUCCUGCUCUUUCGCCUUCCAUGAAUGACACCGGAUCUAGGAGCAUCACUCCACUGUGGCCCUCAACUCCGUGCCCCGCUGUGCUGGAUGCAUGGGCACAGACUCUGGUCUUAUGGUAGCAGCAAGACUGCCAGGAGCUUCUUUCCAGCUACUGUCUCAGGAGCACAAGAGAAAGAGCGUUUUAGGCAGAGGCCUGGGUCCUACUGAGCCAAGUGAAGAUGUUUGACUCAGCAAUUGAUACGGGGCUUAGUGUAUACAUUGGCAUGGAUAAUAAUAGUAAUAAUAAUAAAUUAUACUUUUAAUAGUUU